CAAAGGCCCAGUGUCCUAUGUGCUUGAGUAACCUCCUUGCUGACUCGCCUAUGUCCAACACCACAGAAAGCAAGCCAGUCCCACCAGUUCAGUAAAAUAGGUUUUUCCAUAAUGAAACAGUUCCUCAAGGAGGAUGAUUCUAAGCCAUCUUCGCAGCCAAGCCUCAUGCUUCAGAAAACCCACUGGCUCACACUGACUGCCACCAUCCUUUGACAUAAGUACAGUUCGUGUUCCUGUC